rnacentral:SRP_RNA from 1 species
UCGUGCUAGAUGGGGAGGUAGCGGUGCCCUGUAACCCGCAAUCCGCUCUAGCGGGAUCGAAUUCCUAUCAGCGGUCAUCUACAUGUAGGGUCUGGCUCGUGCAAGUGGUGUUGAUGGUUGGGUCCUAUGCAAUGAAUGUCCAUGAACCCCGUCAGGUCCGGAAGGAAGCAGCGGUAAGUGGAAUUUUUCAUGUGUUGUAGGGUUGCCUGAUCUGAGCUAACUACAUGGGUACGCCUAUGUGGGAUGAUCAAUGAUAGGUGCACGA